CUUUCUUUUGUUACUUAUCAAAUCAUUCAUAUCAAAUUCAUCAAUUGUUAAAAGUAAUCUAGUUCUAAUUUUGUUAUAGAAGAGUCGGAGCCGACUCGAUCAAGAUUAUGUUGAUCAAAGAAAAAUGUAGAAAAAAUGCUGCGUCAGUUAAGUGAGUUUUAUUAAUAAUUUUUUUGUUUUUUGAGUCUUAUUAUUCGUUUUUUUAAUUUAGUAAACAUGCAUGUAUCCAAGACUAUUGACCAUAUCGUUUUGAUUGCUAUAUAAUUAAUCUCAUUGUUUUGAAAGUACUUUUAACAAUCAAUAACAAUUUCCACUUGAAAUAAGUGUCUUUGAUAUGUCAAUCAAGUUACUUUGUCUUAUGCAAUAGGCAACUUAAUACAAACAUAUUUUGGUAUGUGUUUUGGGCACUGGCUAAGUCAUUAUUUGAUAUCAUGUCAAUGAAUUUACAUUUAUAAUAGAGAAAUAUUUAUAAAAAUAUAAAAAAAAUAAAAAUUGUUUUUUUUUUUUUUUUUGUAAAAUAAAAGUUUUGCUUAUGUUAUAAUGAAUUUUUUUUUUUUGUUGUUUUAGUGGAACUGCAAAAAUAUACCUGUACGUUUUUAAUGUUACCGUUUAUUUGUUGUAGAAACUUAAAGUGAUUUUUUAUAUAACAUGUUUACUUCAAUUUUAAAAAAUUAAAUCGUUUUUCAUUUCAUUUACCUCUUUAGUACUACGUGUGAAGCAAUUAGAAAAAGAAAAAGGUUUUUUAAGUUCUACUUUAUACUAGAUAGAUAUUUAAACUAUAUAAACUAUCCUAUUAUUAAACUGAAAUAUUUGCAUUUACUUUUCAGAUACAGUAACGUUAUCUUCACAAGCCACAAACGAUUUGUCCUACGAUAGCUAUCGUAUUUACCGUCGACGGCAACGUGGGCCCACUUCCUACAGCUCCUACAGGAAGUGGGUCAGCAAUAACGGAGUUGACAACUCUUCCUUUAAUUGGAUGGGAAGAAUGUGAGGAGUUGGCAGAGGUCGGGGUGGGUGGCGUAGUCAUAAAAGUUUUAAUUUAUUUAAACUUUAAAUGUAUUGUAAAUAAAGUAUAGUUUUUCUUGUU